AACGAACGCUGGCGGCAGGCUUAACACAUGCAAGUCGAACGCCCCGCAAGGGGAGUGGCAGACGGGUGAGUAACGCGUGGGAACAUACCCUUUCCUGCGGAAUAGCUCUGGGAAACUGGAAUUAAUACCGCAUACGCCCUACGGGGGAAAGAUUUAUCGGGGAAGGAUUGGCCCGCGUUGGAUUAGCUAGUUGGUGGGGUAAAGGCCUACCAAGGCGACGAUCCAUAGCUGGUCUGAGAGGAUGAUCAGCCACAUUGGGACUGAGACACGGCCCAAACUCCUACGGGAGGCAGCAGUGGGGAAUAUUGGACAAUGGGCGCAAGCCUGAUCCAGCCAUGCCGCGUGAGUGAUGAAGGCCUUAGGGUUGUAAGGCUCUUUCACCGAUGAAGAUAAUGACGGUAGUCGGAGAGGAAGCCCCGGCUAACUUCGUGCCAGCCGCCGCGGUAAUAC
rnacentral:rRNA from 1 species